rnacentral:rRNA from 1 species
UACGAAGGGGGCUAGCGUUGCUCGGAAUUACUGGGCGUAAAGGGCGCGUAGGCGGAUAUCUAAGUUGGGGGUGAAAUCCCGGGGCUCAACCUCGGAAUUGCCUUCAAAACUGGAUAUCUUGAGUUCGGGAGAGGUGAGUGGAACUCCGAGUGUAGAGGUGAAAUUCGUAGAUAUUCGGAAGAACACCAGUGGCGAAGGCGGGUCGUCUGGGCAAUUCCUGACG